UCGAGCUCAAGAGUGGACCUUCGAGGCAAGAGCCACGAAGAACAGCAGCAGCGUCGAGCUCAAGAGUGGACCUUCGAGGCAAGAGCCAAGAAGAAGAUGAGCAGCAGCAGCAUCGAGCUCAAGAGUGGACCUUCGAGGCAAGAGCCAAGAAGAAGAUGAGCAGCAGCAGCAUCGAGCUCAAGAGUGGACCUUCGAGGCAAGAGCCACGAAGAACAGCAGCAGCAUCGAGCUCAAGAGUGGACCUUCGAGGCAAGAGCCACGAAGAAGUAGAAGAGCAGCAGCAGCGUCGAGCUCAAGAGGGAGCACGACAGGGACCCUCUGGGCAAAGGCCCCUCCCUGGCACCCCCGGGGCAGGGAUCCGUAAGAGUCCGGCGGGCACCUUCAGGCUGCCCCGGCUGGCUUUGUGCUGGGCGACCUCCCUGUAACCAGGGCUGGGUCUUUGCUU